AGAAUCAACGCUGGCGGCGUGCCUAACACAUGCAAGUCGAACGAGAAAGUGGAGCAAUCCAUGAGUAAAGUGGCGCACGGGUGAGUAACACGUGACUAACCUACCCUUGAGUGGGGAUAACCUAGGGAAACCUGGGCUAAUACCGCAUAAUACCUUCGGGUCAAAGGAGCAAUUCGCUUAAGGAGGGGGUCGCGGCCGAUUAGUUAGUUGGCGGGGUAAUGGCCCACCAAGACGAUGAUCGGUAU
rnacentral:rRNA from 1 species